rnacentral:rRNA from 1 species
AAUGAACGCUGGCGGCAGGCCUAACACAUGCAAGUCGAGCGAGCAUUUCGGUGCUAGCGGCGGACGGGUGAGUAACGCGUGGGAACGUGCCCUUUUCUGCGGAAUAGUCCUGGGAAACUGGGGGUAAUACCGCAUACGCCCUUUUGGGGAAAGAUUUAUCGGAGAAGGAUCGGCCCGCGUUGGAUUAGGUAGUUGGUGGGGUAAUGGCCCACCAAGCCGACGAUCCAUAGCUGGUUUGAGAGGAUGAUCAGCCACACUGGGACUGAGACACGGCCCAGACUCCUACGGGAGGCAGCAGUGGGGAAUCUUAGACAAUGGGGGCAACCCUGAUCUAGCCAUGCCGCGUGAGUGAUGAAGGCCUUAGGGUUGUAUAGCUCUUUCAGCUGGGAAGAUAAUGACGGUACCAGCAGAAGAAGCCCCGGCUAACUCCGUG